GAUUUCUGGAGGUUUGUGAUGGAAAAUAGAACAUUGAGGGAGUCUUUACCAUGUUCUUGGAGAUAAACAGGCGCCAGAGCAUGUCCUUGGAGUUGUUUUUCCAGUAGUGGUGAUGGAUUUACACAGGUUCAUCCACAGUCUUUAGCUCAGGCUCUAUUGUGGACACCAUCCGACACUCGUUGGAUGCCAGACCAACCAGUGUUUUGGUUUUGCCUUGAAGCUGGGUAAAAUGAACUGUUCCACCUGUAGACUUCACUCAGCUCAUCCCAGGACUAGGAGGCCAAAACUUCCAAGGAAAACUUCCAAGUGUGUUUUAAAAAGAAAGCCCGGAAGUUACAACCCCAUUCAAGUGGGUGAGAGAUCUUUUUAAUGUACUCUAGGUAAUUGUGUACUUCGGCUGUUCCCUG